ACUCCUACGGGAGGCAGCAGUGGGGAAUAUUGCACAAUGGGCGCAAGCCUGAUGCAGCCAUGCCGCGUGUGUGAAGAAGGCCUUCGGGUUGUAAAGACUUUCAGUCGUGAGGAAGGGUAGUAGUAGUUAAUAGCUGCUAUUAUUUGACGUUAGCGAACAGAAGAAGCGACCGGCUAACUCCGUGCCAGCAGCCGCGGUAAUACGGAGGGUGCGAGCGUUAAUCGGAAUUACUGGGCGUAAAGCGCAUGCAGGUGGUUUGUUAAGUCAGAUGUGAAAGCCCGGGGCUCAACCUCGGAAUUGCAUUG
rnacentral:rRNA from 1 species